AAGCAAAUAAGGGAAAAAAAUCACUAUCUGGAAAAGAAUGACAAAAACAAAGGAAGCACUGGUAUGCAG